UUUUCACUCUCUCUAGAAUUGUAGAAAGAGAAAACUGCGCAGCCGCGGGAGGACGCUGUCCGUGAAGAAGCUCAUCCGAUGGCGUUUGACGCUCGAAUGACGGUUGAGGGUGAUCUGGAGCGUUGCAACGAUGGUUUCUUGCGAGGAUAAACCCUGAGUUCGAUCCGAUGUGAUACGCGAGAGUUUUCCAUCCGAGCCUAGAAGCCUUUCGAUGUGGAGCUCCAGUGAUCUUUCGAGACUUUCUUCUUCUUGGAGAUAUUGUUUUUCAGGCAAAAGAGGAGCUUACAGACAGCAGCCAAGACAGUUAAGGAUUUGGAAAGCAUCUCCAUUGAACAGAUCUUGAGAGAGAUUUAAACUCUCCGGGAAUUCCUUUUCCCGCCUUCAUUGCAUUCUACAAACCUAGGAAAUGAUGAAGAAAAUCACACUGAAAAGAUCUGAAGGAAAGAUAUGUCAGAUUCUUGAGCUUCAUGAGCUUCAACCACCACGCCUCAGCUCCAAUGGACCCUACAAACCCCAUGCAAAAGAGGAGCUUGUAGACAGCAGCCAGGACAGUCCUUCAGUAGCUCCGGUUCUUCCAAAAUUUCAAGUGAAGGAUUUGGAGAGCUUAGAUGGGAAGUAUGACACGGUGGUGUGUUUGGAUGUAUUAAUACACUAUCCACAAAACAAAGCAGAUGGAAUGAUUGCUCAUCUUGCUUCAUUAGCAGAGAAUCGGUUAAUUCUAAGCUUUGCACCAAAAACGUACUAGGGUUGAAAAGGAUUGGAGAAUUGUUCCCUGGACCUUCUAAGGCAACUAGGGUUUAUCUUCAUUCAGAGGCUAUGUUGAAGCAGCAUUGAAGAAGGUAGGAUGGAAAAUAAGGAAGAAAGGCUUAAUCACUACACAAUUUUAUUUUGCAAGGCUAGUUGAGGCUGUUCCUGUUUCUACUGCUGGUUAGUUAUUGAAGGCUGUGGCACAAACUCACUAAUUUGCGGUUUCAUGAAAUCAUGUUUGUAGAAUCGUGCUAGAUAUAGGUAUGUUAUAUAGUUAAAUUUUUGCUGUAAGAAUGACCAGAAUUCUCACUUUCCACUAUCCUUUGUUUUGAAUAGUCGGUUGUGUUUGUAUUGUUUGAUGUCGUUUCGCAGAUCUCGACGACUUUAAUUUUAAGGUAAAUUUGUUGUAA